GGAGCGCUUGUCGAGGUGAAGUGGUUUACCCGAACACCUAAGAAAAUCAAGCUAGAAAUUGUAUGUUUCUGGCUUGAAUUUUCGUUUCUUUCACCAACCUUUCAUUUUGGGAUAUAUUUGGGGUCAAGGGUCCAUUCACAGGAAUAUUAUUUUAUGAAGUGAAGGUGAUUUUCGUUAAAUUUAACCAUAAACAUUCGGUGCAAUGGAAUAUGCACAUACAAAAUCGACGGAGGAAGUGCUUGAAUACUUCAAUGUCGAUGUGAGCGGUUUAUCGGAGGAACAAGUUAGGGUAAAUACAGAGAAAUACGGGCCGAAUGAAUUACCGACGGAAGAGGGUAAACCACUAUGGGAAUUGAUCCUAGAACAGUUCGACGAUCUUUUAGUGAAGAUUCUCUUGCUAGCAGCUAUAAUCUCAUUUGUAUUAGCUUGGUUUGAGGAGAGUGAGGAACAAGUGACAGCCUUUGUAGAGCCUUUUGUAAUUCUGACGAUUUUAAUAUGUAACGCCGUUGUAGGAGUAUGGCAGGAAAAGAAUGCUGAAGAUGCUAUUGAGGCUUUGAAAGAGUAUGAACCAGAAAUCGCAAAAGUAGUGCGUAAAGGUCAUAGAGGAAUCCAGAAAGUGCGAGCCAGUUUGUUAGUCCCUGGAGAUAUUGUUGAAGUCUCAGUCGGAGACAAAAUUCCAGCUGAUAUUCGUAUUCUCCAAAUUUAUUCCACAACUCUUAGGAUAGACCAGUCCAUUUUGACAGGAGAAAGUGUCAGUGUCAUCAAACACACAGAUCCCAUCCCCGAUCCUCGUGCUGUCAACCAGGACAAGAAAAACAUUCUAUUCUCUGGUACAAACAUCUCAGCAGGAAAAUGCAAGGGAAUCGCUAUAGGAACUGGUCUCAACACUGCCAUUGGCAAGAUCAGAGACGAGAUGAUGGAGACAGAAUCAGAAAAGACACCACUUCAACAGAAAUUGGAUGAAUUCGGAACUCAACUUUCUAAGGUUAUUACUAUUAUCUGUAUCUGUGUAUGGGCCAUCAACAUUGGACAUUUCAACGAUCCUGCCCACGGAGGAUCAUGGAUGAAGGGUGCCAUCUACUACUUCAAGAUUGCUGUAGCUUUAGCUGUAGCUGCUAUUCCUGAGGGUCUGCCCGCUGUCAUCACUACCUGUCUGGCUCUUGGUACAAGAAGGAUGGCUAAGAAGAAUGCCAUUGUCAGGAGUCUGCCCUCCGUAGAGACCCUUGGCUGUACCUCUGUCAUCUGCUCUGAUAAAACUGGUACACUGACCACCAACCAGAUGUCUGUCUGCAAGAUGUUUGUGUUCAGCAAGGUUGAGGGUAAUGAUAUUCAGACCCAGCAGUUCGAGAUCACCGGCUCUACCUAUGCUCCAGAGGGUGACGUGUACAUGGGAGGUAAGAAGGUGAAAGCCUCUGAUUACGAGGGUCUUGAGGAGAUGGCUACAAUCUGCGCAAUGUGUAACGACUCCAGCGUAGACUACAAUGAUACCAAGGGAGUAUAUGAGAAGGUUGGUGAGGCCACAGAGACUGCCCUGACUGUUCUGUGUGAGAAGAUGAAUUACUACAAUACCAACCGUGCUGGUCUGAGUCUGAGAGAACAGGGUACUGUCUGUAACCAUGUCAUCCAGCAGAUGUGGUCAAAGGAAUUCACACUGGAAUUCUCUCGUGACAGGAAGUCCAUGAGCGUUUUCUGUACACCAAACAAACCAGCAAAAAUACCCGGUGGCUCCAGGAUGUAUGCCAAGGGUGCCCCUGAGGGUCUCCUUGACAGAUGCACACACGUACGUGUUGGAAAGGACAAGGUCCCCAUGUCACCUGCCAUCAAGAAUGAAAUCAUGAAACACACCAAGGCCUAUGGAACUGGACGUGAUACCCUUCGUUGUCUCGCCUUGGCUACUAUUGAUGCUCCACCACGCCGUGAGGACAUGGACCUUGAAGACUCCCGCAAAUUCAUUCAGUAUGAGACCAAUAUGACAUUCGUCGGAGUCGUUGGAAUGUUGGACCCCCCACGUAUGGAAGUAUUCGAUUCAGUCAAGAACUGCCGAAAGGCUGGUAUCCGUGUCAUUGUCAUCACCGGCGACAACAAGGCCACUGCUGAAGCCAUCUGCCGCAGGAUUGGUGUGUUUGGUGAGAAUGAAUCCACUGAAGGUAUGUCCUUCACUGGCCGUGAGUUUGACGACUUGUCCCCCGAAGAGCAGAGAUUGGCUGUAACUAAGAGUCGUCUGUUUGCCCGUGUAGAGCCCGCCCAUAAGAGUAAGAUUGUUGAGUACUUGCAAGGAGAAGGAGAAAUCUCUGCCAUGACAGGAGAUGGUGUGAAUGACGCCCCCGCUCUGAAGAAAGCUGAGAUUGGUAUUGCUAUGGGAUCUGGAACUGCUGUAGCCAAGUCUGCCUCCGAGAUGGUAUUGGCUGACGACAACUUCGCAACAAUUGUGGCCGCUGUGGAAGAAGGUCGUGCCAUCUACAACAACAUGAAACAGUUCAUCAGAUAUCUGAUUUCCUCCAACAUUGGAGAGGUUGUAUGUAUUUUCUUGACCGCUGCUCUUGGUAUCCCUGAGGCACUUAUCCCCGUACAGCUUCUGUGGGUAAACUUGGUAACUGACGGACUUCCUGCCACUGCUCUUGGCUUCAAUCCCCCAGACAUGGACAUCAUGAAGAAACCCCCAAGGAGCGCAAAGGAAGGUCUCAUCACUGGCUGGUUGUUCUUUAGAUACAUGGCUAUUGGAGGUUAUGUUGGAUGUGCGACUGUUGGUGCUGCCGCCUGGUGGUUCAUGGUCUACGAUAAGGGGCCAAAACUCAACUACUACCAGUUGACUCAUCACAUGCAGUGCCCUGCUGAGCCAAAGAUGUUCCCCGGAAUCGACUGUAAGGUGUUCGGUGCUCCUGAGCCUAUGACGAUGGCUCUCUCUGUUCUUGUCACCAUUGAAAUGCUUAAUGCCCUAAACAGCUUGUCUGAGAACCAGUCCCUCAUGGUGAUGCCACCCUGGUGUAACAAAUGGUUGUUAGGAGCCAUGGCCCUGUCCAUGGGACUCCACUUCUUCAUCCUCUACGUUAACGUCAUGUCGACCAUCUUCCAAAUCACGCCUCUUGGGCUUGAGGAAUGGUUUGCGGUACUCAAGAUCUCAUUCCCUGUGAUACUUAUAGACGAAACGUUGAAGUUCUGUGCUCGCAAAUUCACUGACGUGUAAAUGUUUCGACACUAUAUACAACAGACAGACAAGGACAAGUUGUGAGGCCCAAUGAAGAAGGCAGCCAUUUUGUACAACCCGCUGGGCUCGAGACACACAAGAAACAUCGGUAAUUGAGGAACGCCGGUGGUGCUGGUACAACAGAUUCGUGUGAAUUAGUGAUUUUAACCAAUCGGUGUGGAUGAAAUAGGACCAUAUGGCUGCAUCACAGUUUAAAAAGAAACAGUUGUUGAUGGUUGCCCUAUAUGGUCGUGUGUAUUAGUUUCUUAAACCUGAACCACCAGAGUGGAUGCUAUAUUUAGAUAGAAGCUUUCAGAAUCUACCAACCCAGGAGACACAUAACUAAUCUUAUGUGUGGUUGUCCCUCAUUUUGUUCCAAAUUUUACUCCUUACCCAAAAUUUUCCAGGAAUGAGGAAAUAAAAAAAAAUGUAUGUGACUUAUCAGCCUCAUAGACUUUGUGUAGCAAAAGAGCAAACGUGACUAUAACCCGCCGGAAGUGUGAUACCGGAAAUGAUUCCUCGUGUGAUGUAUAGUACAAAGUUCCGGACUCUCUUUACUUGUAUAUUUAUGCAAAUCUAAGCUAAUUUAUGACAAGUCAUCGAAUUAAUGAUGUCCGUGCUGGAAAAAAGUAUAAAUUUGGCAUUAUUUAAAUAAUUAGUAGUUCCAUGGAUAUUCCUUGUAGAUAUUUAUUUUUAUGAUUGGACUCUUAUGAUCCCCUGACCUUUGACCUCUUCAGUUCAAAAAUUAAAAACAAGGGGGCAUACCUUUAACUUCUUACUUUCUUUGUCAUGACGUGAUAUGAAGCGAUUGGAAGAUGAAUACUGUACACUUUGCUUUAAUCUUGCUCUUGGAAAUCUGUAAAAUCAUUAAUUUGUCAAAAUCUUGACUCGAAAAAAAAACUAGGUCAUCAAGGUCAUUCACUCUGGAACGUGAACAUUCCAGAAAGCAGUGUCACAAGUCAUCAGACAGUGCUUGAAACCUGUUCGAAGAGGUCAAAGGUCGUGUUAUCCCCAAUAUUUCCUCAAAUACUAAUAUCGGGAAGUUUUUUUCGUUACGUGAACGGUCAAAUUAUGUGUAUCGAGAUCAUAGACUAUAAAACUGUGUAUUUUUAUGCAAGUCUGUAGCGAAACUUAGGUGUUUGUGUGUAUCAACAUGUGUUUUAAGUAAAGAACAAAUUAGAGAAAAAUAUCUGAUAGUCAUAUUCCACCAAAUGUUUUUAAUUAAUGUCACAUGUAUAACAAUAAAUUGAAGCGUUCUGAAAACUUGAUGACCAUGCUGAGUGGAGGAGUUCAGAAAACAAUCAAACAUAUUUUUCAAGUUUUCACGUACCAUUUCAUUCGUUUUUCAUAGUUAUCAUAUGUGAUUUGUGAAAUUAAGGAAAUUGGAGACCCCAAACCCCAUUUUACCUCUUUCCUGCCAAUUCUUCGGGUAGAAUGUGUUCCGCCAUUCAUAAUAGUUCAUACUCGGCCAGUCACACGGCGUCAUUACCAAGCUAUAUAAGAUUACUGUACAAAUCGUAUUUGGAAAUAGCCGUAGUAUAGGAUUAUCGCUAAGACGUAAAUCACGUGACUUAGUAAUGGUCAUAAAAGAAAUAGUUAUACUAGAAAAUAGUUUGAUUAGAAAUUGCAUUACAUGAAGUAGGUAGAGAUUAGAAAUAGUUAUAUAUGUAUAAGUGACUGUAAACAACACGCCAAGGACUAUUACUUGGUUGUGUAUUUUGAUCAGUUUCAUUGUAUGAUGUGUUAUCUAAAAUUUACACAACUGUGUGAUAGUUUGUUUACGGUCAUCGCUUAAUAGACACAAGGCUCGAUUAGUGCUUAGUGGGUUACGUCAUUCCGAGUGACGUCACGUGGUAGGCCCUGAUAUGGCGAACGAGUGCUAAAAAUUUCCAAAGAAUUCCACUUAAUGUUCAUUUUAAAUAUUAAAAGAUAUUUCUCAAAUAAACCAAAAAUAAACUACAAGCAAGAAUAUUCAUCAAAAUGACGUAAUUCACGUAAAUGUGACGUCAUUCGCAUCUUACUGACGUCAGUGGCUCUAUCUCAGUGGAUGUUAUAACGUAUCGUCAAAAAAGAGUGCACAAAAAAACCUUUUGUAUGUAGCUUUGUGACGUACCUUUCGUCCAAUGAUUUGACGCCAUUGUGGUCACGUGGUGUGACAUCAUAUGUACAUAUCAUUAUUUCCAUUUGUCUUUGUUACUUUGUUGUCCCUCUACUCGUUGAAAUGGCAGCAUAUCUGUAGUAACUGCCGGAUUUGUAAAUUUCCUAUAGAAAUAAAGAUUAUUUUGUUUGUAA